AUUGAACGCUGGCGGCAGGCCUAACACAUGCAAGUCGAACGGCGCGGCGGUCGGGUGAGUAAUGCCUAUGAAUCUGCCUGGACGUGGGGGAUAAGGUCCGGAACCGGGCGCUGAUACCGCAUCCUAUCAGAUUAGCCUGGGGCGGAUUAGCUAGUUGUGGGGGUAAGGGCCUACCAAGGCGACGAUCCGUAACUGUACUUAGAGGAUGAUCAGCCACACUGGAACUGAGACACGGUCCAGACUCCUACGGGAGGCAGCAGUGGGGAAUAUUGGACAAUGGGCGAAAGCCUGAUGCAGCCAUGCCGCGUGUGUGAAGAAGGCCUUCGGAUUGUAAAGUACUUUAAGUGGGGAGGCGUUACCAGCAGAAGAAGCACCGGCUAACUCCGUGCCAGCAGCCGCGGUAAUAC
rnacentral:rRNA from 1 species